rnacentral:rRNA from 1 species
UACAGAGGUGGCAAGCGUUGUUCGGAAUUACUGGGCGUAAAGGGCGCGUAGGCGCCUUGUCAGUCAGACGUGAAAUCCCCAGGCUUAACUUGGGAACUGCGUCUGAUACUACAAGGCUGGAGUUCGGGAGAGGGAUGUGGAAUUCCGAGGUGGUAGCGGUGAAAUGCGUAGAUAUCGGAAGGAACAUCAGUGGCGAAAGCGACUUCCUGGACCAAUACUAGACGCGUCCAUGUGCGAAA